CGCGUCAGAAGGUCGGACACACAAACCCCGUCUUGCCUCGUCUCGUCUGCUCCCCAUCUCCCCGUCUCGCCUCGUCCUCUGGAUCCCGCCGCCGCCUUCACCCACCGCCGACGUAGGGUCUCACCUCGUCCUCCUUCAGAUCCAGUCGUCGCUUCACCCACCGCCGACGCAGCACCCCGUCUCGCCUCGCCUCGUCUCGUCCGCUCCCUAUUUCCGUGUCUCACCUAAUCCUUCUCCAGAUCUAGCUGUCGCCUUCACCCACCACCGACGCCGAGCAAGAAGACACGGAGCCCGAGGCCACGUCCAGCUCGUCCAUCGAUCCGGCACACGCGUGCUCCUCGAACGUCGCUGCCCCUCCUCCGAAGAACACGAUGACCCCUCCGCCGACGCUAUGAAGAAGAUGCAGAGGAAGACGCCCACCGCCGAGCCUCGUCCAGAUCCAGCCGAUGCCCUCACCCACCGGUGGAACAACAGCUCCUGGAAUCAAUGGUGUACCUUGUAGGAGAAGGAAGCCAUCUCAAGAAGCCGCUUGCCAUGUCUCAUGAACUGCAUUCUCGUGUGUCUGAACCCCAAUCUCUUGUAUCUGCUUCUUGUCAGCAUUCUCUGUUUUUAGAAAACUGGUUCUACUGAACCAUUUGGACAAUCUGCUUGUAGUGUUCUUCUGAUUAUACAUUAAAUUGGACAGUUCGUUUGCCUUUGGUGCAUAAACCAAACAUUUGGCAUAUGUUUUAA